UUACAAUGCGAGCAAUCGUGAUAAGGAAACCCUGAGUGCCUGUCGAUGCAGGCUGUUCAUAUAUCUAAAUCAUAUGUGAAGAAAGGGCAGGGCAAGACCGGUGCCAGCCGCCGCGGUAAUACCGGCUGCUCGAGUGAUGGCCACUAUUACUGGGUUUAAAGCGUCCGUAGCUUGACUGUUAGGUCUCUUGGGAAAUCUUCACGCUCAACGUGAAGGCGUCUAAGAGAUACCGGCAGUCUUGGAACUGGGAGAGGUAAACCGUACUUCGGGGGUAGGAGUGAAAUCUUGUAAUCCUCGAGGGACGACCUAUGGCGAAGGCAGUUUACCAGAACAGCUUCGACAGUGAGGGACGAAAGCUGGGGGAGCAAACGGGAUUAGAUACCCCGGUAGUCCCAGCCGUAAACAAUGUGCGUUAGGUGUGUCGGUAACCACGUGUUACUGAUGCGCCGAAGAGAAAUCGUGAAACGCACCACCUGGGAAGUACGGUCGCAAGGCUGAAACUUAAAGGAAUUGGCGGGGGAGCACCACAACAGGUGGAGCCUGCGGUUUAAUUGGAUUCAACGCCGGACAUCUCACCGGAUAAGACAGCUGAAUGAUUGUCAAUCUGAAGGUUUUACAUGACUAGCUGAGAGGAGGUGCCUGGCCGUCGUCAGUUCGUACUGUGAAGCAUCCUGUUAAGUCAGGCAACGAGCGAGACCCA
rnacentral:rRNA from 1 species